AUACGUAGGGAGCAAGCGUUGUCCGGAAUUACUGGGCGUAAAGGGUGCGUAGGCGGCCAAAUAAGUCAGAUGUGAAAUACCCGUGCUUAACAUGGGGGGUGCAUCUGAAACUGUUUGGCUUGAGUGCAGGAGAGGAAAGCGGAAUUCCUAGUGUAGCGGUGAAAUGCGUAGAUAUUAGGAGGAACACCAGUGGCGAAGGCGGCUUUCUGGACUGUAACUGACGCUGAGGCACGAAAGCGUGGGGAGCAAACAGGAUUAGAUACCCUGGUAGUCCACGCUGUAAACGAUGGAUACUAGGUGUAGGGGUCAUAAGGCCUCGGUGCCGCAGCAAACGCAUUAAGUAUCCCGCCUGGGGAGUACGGCCGCAAGGCUGAA
rnacentral:rRNA from 1 species